GUGAUUAGCUAAGGUAGCUGAUA
rnacentral:miRNA from 2 species